rnacentral:tRNA from 1 species
GGGGAUUUAGCUCAUUGGUAGAGCGCUUGCCUAGCAAGCACAAGGCCCUGGGUUCGGUCCCCAGCUCUG